rnacentral:lncRNA from 1 species
CUUUCAACUGGCAAUCCUCCUGCCUCAGCUUCCCAAGUUGCUGGGAUUACAAAAAUGUGCCACCACACCUGGCACUAAUCAUGUCUUCUAAACUGUUCUCAGCCCCUGCCAAGACCCCGAUCUCCUACGAUAUCCCCUUGCCCGUGUCCAGGGUAGGCAAAGGAUGAGGAAUAACAGAUUCUCUCCCAGGCAUUUUUCAAAGUUGUCUCUGUUCCAUUUCUAACCCCAGUCCCAGGAAAAUCCCCAGCUGCAAAGCUGGCCCCUCCCAUGUCCUCGGCCCACCCCUCACUAACCUGCCUUUGUCUAUU